rnacentral:rRNA from 1 species
GACAGAGGGUGCGAACGUUGCUCGGAAUUACUGGGCGUAAAGCGCAUGUAGGCGGCAGCGCAAGUCGGGCGUGAAAUCCCACGGCUCAACCGUGGAAGUGCACUCGAAACUGCGCAGCUAGAGUCCUGGAGAGGAAGGUGGAAUGCUUGGUGUAGAGGUGAAAUUCGUAGAUAUCAAGCGGAACACCGGUGGCGAAGGCGGCCUUCUGGACAGUGACUGACGCUGAGAUGCGAAAGCGUGGGGAGCAAACAGG